AAAGACCUGUCAAAUUUCAAGGUUCUGGAUGCUUCUGGAAAGAAAAAGAAUUAGAUUGUGGAAGGUGUAGGAGAGAGCGGAGGACUGCACAGCACUCACUACUAUGCCAUGACAAUCAGCAAAGCACAGAGUUGCCAGGAACAGCCCUGGGAAUAAUCACCUCCCACGCCAAAAGCUGGGGACAUGAUAAUUGGUGUCUGAUGACAGGAGAGGACAUUUUUAAGUAGUCACUUUCAACUUCAUAACAUAUAUGUCAUCUUUAACCAUGUGCAUGCUGCUUCAGCUCCUACAUUCAAGGGAAAAGGGGUGUUUAUGGAAGAUGGCCCAAUUACAAACAUAAAUUCACCAAAAUUUUGCCUUGGUUUAAAAAAAAAAAAUUACAACCCAGAAGAUCAGGU
rnacentral:lncRNA from 1 species